AUUGUGUAAACCAAUUUCUCGGCAAGGAGUCAAAAAUGUUCUAAAGAAAUACUCAAAGAAUCGUUUCUGGGGUGUGAGUCAUGCGAAAUCGUUAGCUGCUAGUGUAACGUUUAGCAAACAUUUGAAAAAGCACCACAACGAAAUAUCCUGUGAAAUCUGUUCAUUUUCAUAUAUGUACCCAUCGUUGCUAGCCACGCUUCCUGAGUCCGGAAGUACCAACCUCAAACCGAAUUGACGUAGCGUGAACGGAGACAAUUAACAUGUUUUGCGAUGAUGGUCCGAGCCCGGUAAUUUAUCAUUUCCAGUAUCUUUAGUAACUUGACUCUAAUUCAGGAAUCAAAUGUAUCAUACCAGAUGGAAAACCAACACAGUGCCGUCCUGCUGUCACCGAACGGUUACCAAGAAAUGUCACUCAAAAGUCCGCUUUGGUGUAUGUGAGUAAUCGUCUGUCGGUGAAUCCCAGAGUUAGACAUAUAGAUUCUAUACAUAAAUUGCCAUUUGCCAGUUUCCAUAUAUGUACAAGAAAAAAUACAGUGAUGAAAGUUGAGAAAAAGACAGACAUUCCUUUUUGAUGUUACAUAUUGUAUAUGUAUGACAGUUAGGCUAUCUAUAGCGUAAUAACGAUAAACAUGUGAAGUGUUUGCUAAUUUAGAAAUGGAAGACAUUUUCUGAAAGUGUCAUUUAGAUGUGUUUGAUAGAUACCUGUAGUUUUUAUACAAUACAUAUUGAAAGAAAGCCUUUUAGAAGGCAAAUUUAAUGAAGAGGAUAUGCAUAGAUAUGGAUGUCAGAAAUAUAAAAGAAUAUUUAUUAACUUUCUUGUUAUACCUGUACUAAGGACAAAUGAUCAAAGUAAAAAAUUAUCAUUUAAGAAAUAAAGGGUCAAUAUCAAGGGUGAAUAAUUUGUAUUAAAGGAAGGUCCUGGACCCUUUCCAGGGAAUGAUAACUGCAAAAUAUGAUGGGUUAUUCAAAUCCGCUGUAGAUCCACAGGACAAGAAAUGACAAAACUGUGUGAAUACCGUUGUAUAGGAUUUCAAAACAUUGUUUUUGAGGACAUAGUGGCGCCAUCAUAUAAGAGGUCCAUUUAUUUAUUGUUUGGAAAUGGUGUAUUUGUAAAAUAAUUAAGAAAUUAA